CCCGUUACGGAAAGCGGGUGGAUCUGGGAGAGGGAGUUCCCGUCUAAGUACACGGCGGUGAGCGGCUGAAGCUGCGUGUUGAUGAAGUCCUCGAUGAGGGUCCCCGGGAUGCCGUUGUUCUGCAGGUACAGCGUCCUCAGGUUACUGAGCGUGAAGAACACGUUGGGCGGCGUCGUGUCGCCGAGAGCCAUGUUGUUGAGACGCAGCACCUGCAGCUUGGGAGAGCCUAUGAAGACCGUCUCGGUGAGAGUGAUGCCCGUGUUGCCGGAUAAGUCCAGGGUGGUGAGAGCUUCCGUCACGAUGUCCGGCAUGACCCCCGAAAUUUGGUUGUUCGCCAAGUCGAGCUCUAUCAGCCUCACGUACAGGUCCAGCGUCUCGAAGGGGAACUCUCUGAUCUUGUUUCCUCUCAUGUUAAGGCGCACCAGCGUGUUGUGGGAGUUGACGAUCGCCUCUUCCUCCACCGUCUCGAUCAACGUGUUGGUGAUGUCAAUCUUCUCGAAG